rnacentral:rRNA from 1 species
GAUGAACGCUAGCGGGAGGCUUAACACAUGCAAGUCGAGGGGCAGCACGAGGUAGCAAUACUUUGGUGGCGACCGGCGCACGGGUGAGUAACGCGUAUGCAACCUACCCUGUACAGGGGGAUAACCCGGAGAAAUUCGGACUAAUACCCCAUAAUGAUAUCUGGAGGCAUCUUUAGAUAUUUAAAGUUCCGGCGGUACGGGAUGGGCAUGCGUAACAUUAGCUAGUUGGCAGGGUAACGGCCUACCAAGGCAACGAUGUUUAGGGGACCUGAGAGGGUGAUCCCCCACACUGGUACUGAGACACGGACCAGACUCCUACGGGAGGCAGCAGUGAGGAAUAUUGGUCAAUGGGCGCAAGCCUGAACCAGCCAUCCCGCGUGCAGGAAGACGGCCCUAUGGGUUGUAAACUGCUUUUUCAGGGGGAGAAACUUACCGACGUGUCGGUAUUGACGGUACCCU